AACGCAUAUUGCGGUCGAGGCUUCGGCUGAGACCAUGUCUGCCUCAGCGUCGGUGUGACCCCUCAAUCCCCUCACCCACCUUGCGUGGAUGUGUGUCCGGAUUGGAUCUGGUCUCCCCACUACACUCGUAGUGGGUUGGCCGAAAUUCAGAGGCUCAAGCCGGGACCUGUAUGGCAACAGCAAGGUAGGUAGUUCGUCUACUCCAGCUGAUGCUUUGGGGACCGUGCCCGAGCCCGCAGGAAAACACCACUCUUUCGACCUGAGAUCAGGCAAGGCUACCCGCUGAACUUAA
rnacentral:misc_RNA from 1 species